rnacentral:rRNA from 1 species
GACUUUACCMAUGUCUUUUGAGUACCUUCGUUUCCUCGGCGGGUCCGCCCGCCGAUUGGACAACAUUCAAACCCUUUGCAGUUGCAAUCAGCGUCUGAAAAAACAUAAUAGUUACAACUUUCAACAACGGAUCUCUUGGUUCUGGCAUCGAUGAAGAACGCAGCGAAAUGCGAUAAGUAGUGUGAAUUGCAGAAUUCAGUGAAUCAUCGAAUCUUUGAACGCACAUUGCGCCCCUUGGUAUUCCAUGGGGCAUGCCUGUUCGAGCGUCAUUUGUACCUUCAAGCUCUGCUUGGUGUUGGGUGUUUGUCUCGCCUCUGCGUGUAGACUCGCCUUAAAACAAUUGGCAGCCGGCGUAUUGAUUUCGGAGCGCAGUACAUCUCGCGCUUUGCACUCAUAACGACGACGUCCAAAAGUACAUUUUUACACUCUUGACCUCGGAUCAGGUAGGGAUACCCGCUGAACUUAAGCAUAUCAAUAAGGYKGAGGAA